AGCUCCAAUAGCGUAUACUAAAGUUGUUGCAGUUAAAAAGCUCGUAGUUGAAUUUCUGGUCUCGAGACGCGGCCAGCCUCAAGGGGCGAUGCUGUGGAUCGGGACCAUCCUCGAGGAGAACAUAUCUGUCAUUGAGUUGAUGGGUAUGGGACCCUCGUCAUUUACUGUGAGCAAAAUAGAGUGUUCAAAGCAGGCUUACGCCGUUGAAUACAUUAGCAUGGAAUAAUAAGAUAGGACCUUGGUCUAUUUUGUUGGUUAUACUCCGAGGUAAUGAUUAAUAGGGACAGUUGGGGGUAUUCGUAUUCAAUUGUCAGAGGUGAAAUUCUUGGAUUUAUGGAAGACGAACUACUGCGAAAGCAUUUACCAAGGAUGUUUUCA
rnacentral:rRNA from 1 species